UACAGAGGUCUCAAGCGUUGAUCGGAUUCAUUGGGCGUAAAGGGUGCGUAGGCGGCGCGGUAAGUCGGGUGUGAAAUCUCGGAGCUUAACUCCGAAACUGCAUUCGAUACUGCCGUGCUUGAGGACUGGAGAGGAGACUGGAAUUUACGGUGUAGCGGUGAAAUGCGUAGAUAUCGUAAGGAAGACCAGUGGCGAAGGCGGGUCUCUGGACAGUUCCUGACGCUGAGGCACGAAGGUCAGGGGAGCAAACGGG
rnacentral:rRNA from 1 species